CCAAUAGCGUAUAUUAAAGUUGUUGCAGUUAAAAAGCUCGUAGUUGAAUUUCGGGAUCAGACUGUCGGUCGUGCCUCGGUACGCACUGGCAUUAUUGGUUCCUACCUUCUGAAGAACCGCGAUGUCAUUAAUUUGGUGUCGUGGGGAAUCAGGACUGUUACUUUGAAAAAUUUAGAGUGUUUAAAGCAGGCGCACGCUUGAAUACAUUAGCAUGGAAUAAUGAAAUAGGACGUUUGAUUCUAUUUUGUUGGUUUCUAGGAUCGACGUAAUGAUUAAUAGGGAUAGUUGGGGGCAUUAGUAUUCAAUUGUCAGAGGUGAAAUUCUUGGAUUUAUUGAAGACUAACUACUGCGAAAGCAUUUGCCAAGGAUGUUUUCAUUAAUCAAGAACGAAAGUUAGGGGAUCGAAGACGAUCAGAUACCGUCGUAGUCUUAACCAUAAACUAUGCCGACUAGGGAUCGGAUGAUGUUGAUUUUUUAAUGACUCAUUCGGCGCCUUACG
rnacentral:rRNA from 1 species